CAGCAGACACAUUCCAGCCAAUCAGCAGCAGACCCUCCCUCCCAGACCCUCCCACCUCCUGGACAGCAUCCAUUUUACAUUCAUUGUGAAGCUGCAUUCUUAGUGAGCUGUCCAGGAGGUGGGAGGGUCUGGGAGGGAGGGUCUGCUGCUGAUUGGCUGGAAUGAUGAGUCCG